UCCCAGGUGGCUCAGUGGUAGAGAAUCUGCCCGCAGUGUGGGAGACCCAGGUUCAAUCCCUGGGUUGGGAA
rnacentral:tRNA from 1 species